rnacentral:SRP_RNA from 1 species
GCCGGGCAUGGUGGUGCAUGCCUGUAGUCCCAGCUACUUGGGAGGCUGAGGUAGAAGGAUGGCUUGAGCCCAGGAGGUCAGAGGCUGCAGUGAGCUCUGUUCCCACCACUGCACUCCAGCCUGGGAGACAGAACAAGACCCUGUCUCAA